UGAUGAUGAAAGUAGAGAAGCAGCAUGCAGUGAGUGUAUAACAGAGCGAGUAGACACGAGCAGAGACCUCACACAGUCCUGUACAGUAACAUUAACCCUUUAGUUUCCAGUCUGACAGAUCCACGAGGCGCUGCGUUUACAUUCGCCUCGGGACUCGUGACGUUUCAUGAGCAGGCAGAGGCUGGAAGCACCUAAUGGGAGUGGAGGUGUGUGGUGAAAGUCUCUCAGACGUUGUCCAUCUCAGGAGCUGGCAUGGGAUCUGGGCCCGAGGCACAUGGAGGUUCACAGGGCUGACUGAGUUCUUCUGAAGACAGACUUUUAGUAGACAGAACACUGCUGAGACUUGGCUUUCGUACUCCCCGUGGCUGAGCCUCGAUCUCCACAUGAACCUCAAUGUUAGUUCCUUCUCUGUAAACAAAAGGGACAUAAAUAAAAAGUACACUGUAAAAAAUUAAGCUAAACAAUUUCUACUUGUUUUUAUAAGUUAUGUCAACUUAGCACAAAUCAAAACUUAAAUUAGUAGGUUGAAUUGACUUGCAAAACCAAGUUGUUUUAACUUCUGUUUCAUAAAUGGUCCAUUUUGUUUUACAGUGAACCUGCUUUUCUGGUAAGGGUGCUCUGUGAAAUCCAGGCUAAAGUCUCAUAAUUUAAUUAUUAGGAGCAGCAAAUGUACAGAGAUAUCAAUACAGGAUUAUAUAUUAAUACAGUAACUACAACUUUAUUCUAUGGGUGUCUGCAUUGUUUUAAUUACCAAAUUUGCUCACCUCAGAGUGAAUGUUUGAGUGCUAGUGAAGGCACGCUCCUCAACAACAUCCACUUCAUCUGACUGGACAUCCUGCUCAGUGCUGUCAAUAUGUCUAUCAUUGGGUGGUUCACUUGAGUCCUUUGCUCCUGACUGGACCAUACUGGUGCUGGGAAGUGGCAAAACUUCCUCCACAUUCACAGUCACUUCCUGUAUGCUUCCAUCAGUUAGAGCCGGAUUGGACGGGCCUGUCCAAUGGUCACUGACUACA